GCAUACUAAUAAUAAUGCACAGAUGGAAAUGCUAAAUAGAAUGCAUGAUGAAUAAAGAUGCAUAGAGUAAAUGCCAAGUAGAAAGCGUGAGAUAAUAACUCUAGUGUGAGUAGAGUUGAUUGGACAACUAGGUUGUCAGGUAGAUCGAGUGGCAUCUAACCUAGUGUUAAAGAACAUGGAUUGAACAAGUGAACCUAGAGUCGAGCAAUCUAGGUGUGUGGCAUCGAACCUAGUGUUAGUAAACCUAGGUCGAACUAGUAAACCUAGAAGUGGACAUCUAGGCAAAGAUGACAAGAACCUAGCAAGUGUAUCUAGGUUAAGUGACAUGGACAUAGAACCUAGAGUAUUGGAACCUAGGUUGAUGAGUUUAGUGGUAUAGCCACUAGAAUGAGAUAGGUCGAAAGUAUAGGGUUG
rnacentral:lncRNA from 1 species